AACAAUCGAAGCAGUCUGUCCAAGAAUUCCUUCGACAAGAGAAGAAUUUCCGGCGCGUUUGGAACGAAGGACCCAUUUUGGGCUCAGAGUUAUACGAAGAUAAAGAACUCCUUGUUUGCUAUCCAAAGGAAUUUCAUAGUUAGUCUGUUGUUGCUGUUGAAGAAGCUUGCAGUCGAUUACACAAGAGCCCAAAUGAUCGUCCUUGUUACCAAAAUCCCAAUCAAAAACAUUAGCAACAAAAUUACAGGUUUGCUUGCAAGGAAGUUCGACCUCGAAACUUUCAUUAAAAGUAGGAUUUAACGUCCGCUUGUGCGUUUUAGUCCGGUACACUUCUUCUCCUUGCAACUCGAAAACAACGAAAGGAUCAGACUUUCCAUUGGAAUCUGCGGCAGGGAGAUCCGUGGCUUUUAUGACAUCGACGGUCAUUUCUCCCAUAUUUUCGUACAUUUCAACUUCCUCAAGUUUCACAGGAACAGGAGUUAGCCUAAAAGCGACCAAAAUCGAAGCACCAUCAGGAAAUGCAAUUUCCAGAGGUUUAGUAGCGCCUUUACUAAUUAAAUCGCGACUCAGCAUAGUUUUGCUACCAACCUCCUUAUCACCAUCUAGCAGCUUGAAAGUACAUUGAGAAUAUUCAAGUUGUCUGAUGAAAGUAUUGCCGUACUCAUGCAGGGUAGCACCACCGGUGACGUUUAAGGCAGAUGAUAAGAAAAUAUGAUGAGGUAAAUCGUCUAAAAAUAUAGCUAACUCUUGGGCUGGCUUAGCUAUUUUAUACGAAAUUAUGUCGAAACCCAUGAAGCCAGAUUCAAAGUCUAAAGCUGCAUUUACAGCUUCAGACGGCAUAAGCAGUUCUGAAAUCUUCUUUGGUUUUGAGGUUUUAACAGACGUAGACCCUCGAGAAGUUGAAGUGUUGUCGACUGCUGUAGGCGUUUUUUGGCUUUCCGGAAGCACUUCGAUAUUUACUUUAUCAGUUGCAACAGUUGAUGAAGCUUUAGGAGCGGGUGUCACAUCAGGGCUGAGCGAGGUUGUGACAGCGGAUGGGAAAAAGUCACAUUUGAAAGUUAUUGUUGCAUUACCCUUUAUACCCCGGGUAGAGGACAAAGGUACAGUUAGUUCUCGAGGGUCAUGGUAUUCCAUUAAAGCACCAUUUUCGCCUUGAUUGAUAAAAUUUGAUAUGUUGAUAGGGGUCUGUCCAAUGAGUUUGUCUUCACCAGAUGAAUUGUAAUUCAUCACUUGUAAAAAGAAGAUGUCAUGUUUGGUAAUUACGGGUGCAUACAUGUAUUCAUCCCAAAACGGAUUUACAUUGCUAGCAAUGACCACUGUCCUAAACUGUUUCGUAUUGUGGGACAUGAUGCGUGCGUAAGAAUCACAUUUUUUACCAGGAAUCUUAGAGUGCAAAUUAUUCGCCGAACGUAAAUGGAUACGAAUUGCACCGAUGGGAGUAGCAAGAGCCAUCGAAGAAAUACUGUCGUUAUUUAACUGAGCAGGUUUCCACAUAACAGACAUACGUACUCUACCGGAUGGAGCAUGUUGUAAUGGAAACCAUAAAAGACCCGUCUUAGUAGCAGCAAACAAGUCCUGCAAAGAUACAUUAGCGGUCCCAAAAGGAUGCUCUGAUUCCUCCGUGAAUAUUUGAACACCCAGAGUAGCAUUCUUCCCUUCUGGAAGAAGAGUACCAAAGGAUUCUUCCCAUGAUGGAUUAUUGUUUUUCUUAAUCUUUCUGGUCGUAUAGACUUCUUUAUUGUUAAUAAUCAAUUUGGCAUAAGCGGUAGGUCGUUUCGAUGGAUCAUUGCUAAGCUCUUUGCAUUGAUGCACAGUAAAUUGCAGAACACCAGGGCCAUCGACUUUAGUAAUUUCUUCGCCAGAAUCAGGCACAACUGCAUGGAAUU
rnacentral:lncRNA from 1 species